UACGGAGGAUGCAAGCGUUAUCCGGAAUGAUUGGGCGUAAAGGGUCCGCAGGUGGCAGUGUAAGUCUGCUGUCAAAGAAUGAGGCUUAACCUUAUCAAGGCAGUGGAAACUACACAGCUAGAGUACGGUCGGGGUAGAAGGAAUUCCUGGUGUAGCGGUGAAAUGCGUAGAGAUCAGGAAGAACACCGGUGGCGAAAGCGUUCUGCUAGACCUGUACUGACACUGAGGGACGAAAGCUAGGGGAGCGAAUGGG
rnacentral:rRNA from 1 species